rnacentral:rRNA from 1 species
AUGCACGCUGGCGGCGUGCCUCAUCCAUGCAAGUCGCGCGAACGGACGAGAAGCUUGCUUCUCUGAUGUUAGCGGCGGACGGGUGAGUAACACGUGGAUAACCUACCUAUAAGACUGGGAUAACUUCGGGAAACCGGAGCUAAUACCGGAUGAUAUUUUGAACCGCAUGGUUCAAAAGUGAAAGACGGCCUUGCUGUCACUUAUAGAUGGAUCCGCGCUGCAUUAGCUAGUUGGUAAGGUAACGGCUUACCAAGGCAACGAUGCAUAGCCGACCUGAGAGGGUGAUCGGCCACACUGGAACUGAGACACGGUCCAGACUCCUACGGGAGGCAGCAGUAGGGAAUCUUCCGCAAUGGGCGAAAGCCUGACGGAGCAACGCCGCGUGAGUGAUGAAGGUCUUCGGAUCGUAAAACUCUGUUAUUAGGGAAGAACAUAUGUGUAAGUAACUGUGCACAUCUUGACGGUACCUAAUCAGAAAGCCACGGCUAACUACGUG